rnacentral:rRNA from 1 species
GUGUCAGCAGCCGCGGUAAUACGUAGGAUGCAAGCGUUGUCCGGAAUUAUUGGGCGUAAAGAGCGCGCAGGCGGUCUAUCAAGUCAGAUGUGAAAUAUCCCGGCUUAACCGGGAGGGGUCAUUUGAAACUGGUAGACUAGAGUACAGCAGAGGAUAGCGGAAUUCCCGGUGUAGUGGUGAAAUGCGUAGAUAUCGGGAGGAACACCAGUGGCGAAGGCGGCUAUCUGGGCUGAAACUGACGCUGAGGCGCGAAGGCUAGGGGAGCAAACAGGAUUAGAUACCCCCGUAGUCC